UAAAUCACAAUGCGGAACAAUGUUUUGCAAUUGGAUUGAGAACAACGUACAAACCUUAUCGAUAAACAAUUGGAGGGCAAGUCUGGUGCCAGCAGCCGCGGUAAUUCCAGCUCCAAUAGCGUAUAUUAACGUUGUUGCAGUUAAAAAGCUCGUAGUUGAAAUGAAGGGUAGUUGUGUAAUGAAUACAUUCGUGUAUUUUGUUAUUCUACUACCCUCCUUCUAAAUUCGAUAUAUGAGUAUUAAUUUACUUGUAUAUGGUUUUAGACGUUUACUGUGAGAAAAUUAGAGUGUUCAAAGCAGGCAUUUGCUUGAAUAUAUUAGCAUGGAAUAAUCAUGUAUGAUUUUCAUGAUGUAUUUGAUUGGUUUGGUUGAUGAGAAUAAGAUUAAAAGGGACAGUUGGGGGUAUUCAUAUUCAAUAGUCAGAGGUGAAAUUCUCG
rnacentral:rRNA from 1 species